UAUGACGAUGGACAUUGCAAAGAGUGGCGAACGGGUGAGUAACGCGUGGGGAAUCUGCCUUUGAGCGGGGGACAACAUUUGGAAACGAAUGCUAAUACCGCAUAAAACUUUAAACACAAGUUUUAAGUUUGAAAGAUGCAAUUGCAUCACUCAAAGAUGAUCCCGCGUUGUAUUAGCUAGUUGGUGAGGUAAAGGCUCACCAAGGCGAUGAUACAUAGCCCGACCUGAGAGGGUGAUCGGCCACAUUGGGACUGAGACACGGCCCAAACUCC
rnacentral:rRNA from 1 species